UUGGAGAAUUAUUGGUGAUGAAGGGACGAGAAGACACUUAUGGAUCUACCCUAGGACUAGUCACGCUUUUGGACCUUUCGAGCAACAAUUUGUCUGGGCAGAUCCCUAGAAGAAUUCCAACAGGUACACAAAUUCAAAGCUUCAAUGAGUCCAGUUUCAUUGGAAACAAACUUUGUGGAGCUCCACUAACUAAUGAUUGUGUACAUGUUGACAAACCUGAUACAACAA